GCAAAAACCAAAACUCUCUUUGGUCCCAUUUUCCCUGCAUUGGCACAGAUGUUGCCCGUUCUAAUGGGGACUCAUGAAAACGCCGUGGUACAAACACUGGGCCCUUGCUGUGUGUUUUGUAGCCUCAAGGACCUGUGCAGGAGCUCCUCACAACAAAUUCCUCCCAAAUUAUGUUUAGAAGUGCAACUUUUCCUCAGCUUCAUGUGCCUGAUGAAGGAUAUUUCACCCUAACCUCAAAGCUUGGCGCACUAAUUAACUACUUAAAUCUUUUGCUUUUUGCUGCUCAGCUUCCACGCUUGGUUUAAUCUCAGCAGUUAGUUUUUGAGCCAGUUUUCAUCAAAUAUAUGGUUUUCAUUAAUGCAUGGCUGUGUUCUUGCAGAAAGUGAAGCUUUCCUAGCAAGCCUUGCUGAUUUGGUUUACCACCAUCAGUGUGGUCUCUGUUUUGUUGCUAAGGGGAAAGACCAACCUGGUCUCUGUUUGUCUUGGAAAACUUCCCCUGGAAAGCUGUGGAGUCACCACAACAAUGUUCAUGAUCUGCUCUAAUAAUAGAGCUCUGUGAGGAGCCAGUGAUUGCAGGGAUUUGUGUCACCCCAGCCUCGCUCAGACUGCUCAGGCAGCUGCUGGUGGAGGUGAGCAGCAAAAGCUGGUACAGUGGAUGUCAGCAGAGCUUCAGCCACCUUUGCAUGCCUGUCCCCAGGAGUGGAGAGGGAUGUUCCUCACCAAGAGAUCACUGCAGUCUGAGGGUGGGAUGAAGCUGUUGUUGGGAGCCUGCUCAGGAGGCCAUGAGAACAGGGCACUCACCAAUUUCCUGUGGCUGCAAAUUGUGUUUUCUGUGAGACAGAGCAGGGGGAGCUGCAAUUUAGGUUCUCUGAUUGAGAAAUGCCAGCCUGUGGAUGUCUUUCAUGGCCAGCCCAUCAUGGUUCUCAUCCAUAUGGAUUCAGCUUUUCACCCAGGUCCCAGCUUGUUGCAAAGGACAACAUGCCAGCUGCCUUGUGGCACACGUGCCCUCAUCAGCAGGGGAACAGCUCCUGUGGAGUGCAGCUUUGGGAAGAGAGAACUUCUUCUUGCUGGAGCAGCUGUGGCUGCUGGGAGCCCCAUCUGCCCCAGCUUACCCAGGCCUCAGGGAGAUCCUUGCUGUCAGCUGUAAGUGCAGUGGUAACUCUGGUCUCUCUCUCAGGGCAUUGCUGGAGCAGAUGGCCUCCCAGGUGACAAAGGAGAGCUGGGUCCCUUUGGACCCCCUGGCCAAAAAGGAGAGCCAGGAAAAAGAGGAGAACUUGGUCCAAAGGGUGUGCAAGGACCUAAUGGGACAGCUGGAGCACCAGGGAUCCCAGGACAUCCAGGACCCAUGGGUCACCAGGGGGAGAGGGGUGUCCCUGGCAUCACAGGAAAACCUGGACCUCCUGGCAAAGAGGCCAGUGAACAACAUAUCAGAGAACUCUGUGGGGAGAUGA
rnacentral:lncRNA from 1 species